rnacentral:rRNA from 1 species
CCUACGGGUGGCAGCAGUGGGGAAUAUUGGACAAUGGGCGCAAGCCUGAUCCAGCCAUGCCGCGUGAGUGAAGAAGGCCCUCGGGUUGUAAAGCUCUUUUGUCCGGAAAGAAAAGCUUUCGGUUAAUACCCGGAAGUCAUGACGGUACCGGAAGAAUAAGCACCGGCUAACUUCGUGCCAGCAGCCGCGGUAAUACGAAGGGUGCAAGCGUUACUCGGAAUUACUGGGCGUAAAGCGUGCGUAGGUGGUUCGUUAAGUCUGAUGUGAAAGCCCUGGGCUCAACCUGGGAAUUGCAUUGGAUACUGGCGGGCUAGAGUACGGUAGAGGGUGGCGGAAUUCCCGGUGUAGCAGUGAAAUGCGUAGAGAUCGGGAGGAACAUCUGUGGCGAAGGCGGCCACCUGGACCAGUACUGACACUGAGGCACGAAAGCGUGGGGAGCA